rnacentral:misc_RNA from 1 species
AAAGUCGUAACAAGGUUUCCGUAGGUGAACCUGCGGAAGGAUCAUUACCGAGAUUUUUCUUUUAUUGACUUAAGUCGUUAAAGAAUCUCCCACCCUUUGUGUUACUUUUUAAUUAUUACUUUGGUGAAGCGUUUUGUCUAUUAGUAGUUUACUAUUUGUUAACUAUUAGUGGGCAAACCAUCGACUUUUUCAUAUGAAAAGGUGGAUGUGUUUCUUUGCCAAAGGAACCACUUAACUCUUUUUUUAUAAUAUUUUGUCUGAGUUUAUAAUUUUAAAUAAACAAAACUUUCAACAACGGAUCUCUUGGUUCUG